rnacentral:lncRNA from 1 species
UGAAUUGUAAUUAUGUGAUAGUUACAAAAUAAGGUAAGGAUUAUCUUAUAAGUAUGGUGAACGAAUUUAAGGUUGAAAAGCCUUAGAAUUCGAGUAUGAUAAGGAUUCAAGGAUUAUCUUAUUGGUUGCUUAAUGGAUAAUCAACUAGAUAAGGAUAAUGACUGAAACCCUAUCUCUACACCUAUAUAAACACCCCUAGGGUUAUGAAUUCGUGUAUCCCUUCCCAAGAAGUCCCAAAUACGAAUUCUAACCUCCCUCCUCUCUCCUUAUACCUUCUCCACUUGCUUAUGGUGUUUGUAAGCCAUUAGAGGAGUGACACUUGUGACUCUUUGCUUUCCAAGGUCAAUUCAAGGAGGAAUUGGAUUGUUAUUGCUACAUAACAAUCAAGGUAUGUUCUUAAACCUAUUUACAUGUGAAUUCUGAUUUCCAUAUGCUAGAAUUAGGGUUCAAAGUCUUGGAUUCAAAGUAUGUACAAUAGAGAAACCUAGAUCCGAGCUUUAGGGUUUGUAUGAGCACAUAGGAUGUCUUAUGACCAAAACCCAUCAGUGGUAUCAGAGCCAUGAUUGGUUUCUAUUGUAUUGAUGCUUGAUGUAACUGAAAAUCGUGUUUUGGCCUCACUGUUCGACCUGACUCGGCGAGUCACUCUUGGACUCGGCGAGUCAGCCCUACUCGGCGAGUUCCAGAGGGUGACUCGGCGAGUCGGUGCGUCAGACAGUGCUUAUCUCGGGAUUUCUUGCUGUUUUUGCAUUGGGAUAAUUACCUUAUCAUGUUAGAUUAAUAUUAAUCCGAUUAUAUGAUAUAUUUGACUAUAAUUUUAAUCUAAUUGAAGAUAUUUAUCAAUUAAUAGGAUAAUUGUUUCCUUAUAAGAUAAUUGAUUAAUUAUUUUAAGUAAAUUGAUAAAUUAUUUUGCAAGAAAUCAUCAAAUAUGGAUAAUUAUGUGAUUAAAUGUUAAUUUGAAUUAUUUGUUAUUUGAUCCUUGUUGUUGUGAAAAGUUUCAUAUUUGGCCCUUUAGGUUUUAUAGUUUAAAUUUGAACCCCAAAAGUUUUGUUGUUUUGAAAUUUAAAUAGUUGAAACCCUAAUGUUUUGAAAAAGGUUUCAAAACUUGCCCUCAAGUUUUGGAAUUUAAAUUUUGAUUAAAUAGUUUAAUUUUGAUGCAUAUUUAAAUUCUAAACCCUAAUGUGUUGAAAUGUUUCAAAACUUGCCCUCAAGUUUUGGAAUUUAAAAGUUGAUUAAAAGUUUAAUUAGGAAUGUUAAAUUCUAAAACUCUAGUAUAGUUUUGAAAAAGUUCAAAUCACACCCUUAUGGUUUUAUUAAUUAAUUAAGGUGUAUAAUUAAAAGAGGUUUAAUAAAUCCAUAAAAGUUUAGGUUUACAAUUUAAUUGAAUUAAAAGUAUAAUUGUUAAAUUAGACCACCUAGUAUUUUAAAAGUAUAAAAUACACCCUAUACUAUAUAUAACAUUAAAAGUCUAACAUUAUAUAUAUGUAUGAGUAAAAGUCAGUCUUACCGUUAGUAGGCCUCAUUCACGAAGCUGGUCUAUAAGGGGUGUUUAAGGAAAUUGCCUAUAAAAUGGCGAUUGAAUGGGUAUCCACUCUUACCCACCGCACUCUUGACUAGUGGAGGGUCGUUAGCCGAACGGGUAGGAUAGGACGAAACCUUCCAUUAUAAGUAUAAUGAAUUAUUAAAGUAACUAAAUGUUUUCAUAAAAUUCCCAAUCUUAGUUACUUAGGCAAAAGUGAAUUGAUGCAAUUCCAUGAAAUUACACUUUGUGCCCUUGCGAAGACGUUAGUGGAGCGUGUGUGGUUAACCGGCACACUAAAUGGUUCUAAGCAAAGGUAGCAAAGGGUGACUCAAUGUUUGUCAUAGUUCGGUGGAGCGUGUGUGGUUUACCGGCACAUCGAAUAGGUGACUGUAACAUGUGAGGGCACCAUGUAAGUUUGCAUGGUUAUUCACACCCGCUUUGUGAUCCUCGGCAUCCCAGUCACAAACAAGAGGGGCAUAUCGAGAUUUAAACAUGCCAUUGAAAGUUCAAUGAAUCUCAAAGGAUCUAGGAGUUUUCAUAGAUUUAAAACUUAAAUUUCUUUUUCGUUUUUCAUGGUGGAAAUUAGUGAAUCGUCAUUCACUUACCUUCAAAUAUUCUGCAAUUAGGGUUACGGCAUCCCUCUCCCGAGUUGUAGAAUAUUGUGUUGGGUCCUAGCCUUAGUAUCUCAUUUGGGUGAUUUACUAAGGACUCAAUCAAUCAACUAACUUGAAUUCGUUUUCUCCCGUUUUGUAGAUGUCAAAGUUCGACAACUAUGGUCUUCUCAAAUCCCGUGGAACAAGCAUUCCACAUGAAGAUGAUAUUCCACGAUUCGAUCGAGGAUCAAGAAAUCAUGCUUCACUUCCUCCUCCUCCUCCAAUUAUUCUCCCUAACCCACAAGAUUGUAAAAUUAAAAGGUUCAAUAUCACUCAAGCCCGUUUGGCAAGUAAACAUAAAGAAGGAAAGUCGUUGUCUGUGAGGAAAUGGCUGUUGAUUGGGUUCUUCAGUCACUUCCUAACUCGUAUAGUUAGUUCGUAAGAGAGUACUAUAUGAUGAACACUUAUAGAUCUCACCUCUAUGCUUAUUGCUGCCGAAUCAGCAAUGGUUUGGCGCAAUAGAAAAGCAAAGUUAAUUGGUGAAUAUGCCUCUAUGGAUAUAGACAAUGGCAAUGAAAGACAUGCAAGGAUCGAAAAGGUUGAUCAUAAGAGAAAAGGCGAUGUCUAAAGUAGUUCCAUGUGUUGUUCCGAAAGAGUCAAUUUGCUUUUAUUGCCAAGAGAAGGGGAAUUGGAAAUAAAGUUGCCCUAAUUACCUAAGAGAUCUAAGAGAUGGGAGAGUCAAAAGUAUGACUGCGCUUUAGGUAAAUAUCCACUAUCUAACUCAAUUAAGUUCCUAUUCAUUGAUUCUUAAUACAUGAUGUAAUAAGAUUGCAUUUGAAUGUUUUGUAGGGUCGGUGAAAAGAAAGGAAGCUUGAUAAGAGAAAGCAAGAUGAAUCUAAUCACAAGAGAUGGAUCUCGAUCGCAUGGACUUGAAGAUUAGAUUUUGAGCUUAGAAAGUUAUGAUAGAGUUGUUAGAAAUUUUCUUUUGUACAUAGUUUUCAAUGGAUUUUGCAUUGUAAGGACAAAUUUUUUCCGCUGCUUUUAUAAAUAAAAUAAAUUUUGUUUGACUUAUUUAUUUAUUUGUUUAUUUCCUUGCAAUGAAAUCGUUAUGAAAAUUGAUGUUUGAAUAUUUCUACAACGAAUGGAUAUGAUUCUUGUUUAUGUUAUUUAUGGAAAUGUCAAGAAUUUACCAAAUAGGGAGAGUUUCUCAUCGCCCAAAGUUUCAAUCGGACAGAAAUUUGGAAUCAUGCAACUUGGUUGCAUGAUGAAUGAGAAAUUCAUAUUUGGAAAUUAGACCAAUUCGUUGACAAAGUGUCAAGUGAAGGACUAGGAGAUCAAGUACACAAAGUAGUGUGUUGAUCAAGUUCACCAUAAGAAUAACAAAGAUAUUCGUCAUGAUUUACUAAAGGCUUAGUAAAUAUGAUUAUACUUACAAGAUUAAGUGUAAUUCUAAAUUGAUUAAAGGGUUUAGAUCAAUAGUAGAACGAAUAAGAAGAAUCAAGUAGGCAGAAAGAUAAAAGUUUUUCCAUUCUAAGAAGAAGGGAGAGUAGCUUUUAUGCUUUAUGAUAGGUCUUAAUGAUUAAGAACCAUAUCUCAAUUGAUCCUCUAAGUGAGUCUUAGUACAAUUGUAUGUCUAAGAAGAGGAAUCAAGAAUUGAAGAAAUGGUUAAAUCAAUAAGUCAAUCAUACUUCGUUCCAAUAACAAGUCUUAAAGUUAAGAUUGUGACAUUGAGUGAAAGGUAUUAAGAAGGUUUAUAACUUUCAUUAAAUGUGGAAAGUUGUGAUGUCUUGGAUAAGACAAAGACCAACUAGGACCAAUUUAUGAAGAGUUUUGAUAAAAGCUACACUAACUCUUGAAUAUUUGUUUGUCAAGAAAUGGUUUUUGACAAGAGAAUCUUAUAUGUCAAGGAGUCAGUGGGAGUCUUAAUGGUCUUGAAAGGUUUCAAGAACAAAUCAAAUAAACCUUAUCGAUCAUCACUAGCACACGAGUUGAGGUUUACAACCUAUCGUGUUGACAUUAUUUUGAUUCUGUGCCAAUCCAAUCGAGUUAAUUAUGCAUGUGAGUUCUAUGAGUUCUCAUUUUGAACGCAUAAAAGGCAAAGCACCUUAAUCAAUGAAAGGUACAUUGAUAAGAAAGGGUGAGCUGCUUAACUACUUGGAAGACAUGGUGGGCAGCUGUGCUACCAUAAAGGCAAGAAAUCGAGAUCAAGAAAGUUCGAUCCAUAAGAGUUUGAAUUUGUCGUAAACCUUGGUUUUGACAAAUUCACAUGGAUAGGAACAAAUACACUGUUUAAAUCUAAGUGUCAUAAGAUUUCCUCCUUCAUGAAAAUGAUUGUGAGGAAAUGCUUUCACUAAGACAGAUUUUAAGAAGAUAGUGAUUGUAAAAUUGCAUUCUCGAAUUCAAUUAUGGUUACGGCAUCCCUUUCCAUAAUUUGAAUUGUGAGGUUUGGCAAUUAGUCUUAAUUGUUUAGACACACAUAUGAACUAUCGAAGGCAAAGGUGUAUAAGUUCAAGAAGCCUUGAUAAAAGAUUAUCAAAGCACUAAGUAUUAGAAACAUGAACUUAAGAAAUUCAAUAAGUAUUGUUUUUCUGAAAGUUAAGAUGUUUAUGAAUACAUGUCGAAGCUAGUGGGAGCAUAAGUGUUAUGUUUUAUAAUAAUCAUCAUGAUAGUGGGAGCAUAAAUGUUAUGAUUGUAUGAUUAUUAAGGAAAGUAUUGCAAGGUUAGCAAUAUUAAUUAUAGAAAACAAGAGUCAUACUUUGCAAAGUCGCAAUAGUUGAAGAGUUGUUUUGCUAUAAUUAAGGGAGAGAAUAUUAUGCUUCAUUUCAAAUCUAAAGGUUUAGGUUGAGAAAUGUUAAUAAAAUUUAGUCAAAGGUACAAAGUGUGUUCUUAAAAUUUCGAUUAUGAUUACGGCAUCCCUCUUCACAAUUCGAAUUUUGAGAACAUAGCAAAUAAAACAUUAUGCGUCGUGUCCCAUACGCUUCGGGUAUAGGAUCGAUUGCAAAUGCUUUAAUGUUUGACCAUUCUAAAAUUUUCCAAAUGUCGAGCGCAUUUAGAGGGAAAAGGGACUAGAAUUGGUUUUGACUAAAAUAAUUAAACAACUAUCAAAGGACAAUCCAAAGUUCGACGAGGAUUGGUCGCUUGUGAGUAGUUGGAAGUAUAGUAUUGGAAAAUAUGGAAAUGUUUCCAUAUUGGAUGGACCAUAUCGACAUCAUUACGAAUAGAUAAGAUUCUAUUAAGAAUGAGUUGUCAUAUGGAACAUAUGGAAGUGUGUCCAUAUUGGGAAUUGAAUAUUGAGAAAUCUAUGACUAGAUUAGAAACUUCUAUGCAAAAGGAUGUUCAAAGAAUGUACUUUGAGUGAGAGACAUCACGUCUAUGGAAUUGUCUUGUAACAAUCUCCGAUAGAGGACUUUGUAAUAUCAUUGGCAAUAGUCUUUGUGACUUUGGUGCAGUGACAUUACGAAAGGAUAGUUGCAUAGAAUGUUAGAAUCUAGCAUAUUCUAUAAGUAGCAAGAAUUUGAUAUUCUUUGACUUAUGAAAAACGGAUUUGGAGUUGUGAAAUGAGAAGGAUUGGAAAUGUGUUCAAUGUGAUCUAUUUCACAAAGUAAGAACCAUAGGUAAACAUUGUGUGCAUGCUAGGAGCAUGGGACAAGUGUUGGAAUUCAAGUAAGAAGUUGAUUACCCGAAACGACAAAUAAUGAGUAAUCAAUAUGGUGAUAAAUAAAAGGUGUUUUAUUUAUACUCAAAGGUUUGAGGCCAUAUGGGAUUAGUAUUAUUCUUGUGUUUCACAUUUGCAUGUUUUGACUUCCAGAAUAAUUGAGUUUAUUAAGAAUAAUCGAAUUAUUCAAACGGGCCACAGUCGUUCAUAUGUUGGAAGUAGAUAUGAAUGAAGACUGUCGUGAAUUGGUGUGUGGAUUGUCUAAAAGAGUAUUAGACAUAAGCAAAUGUUUGCUGCAACGUUCAUGAGUGCUUAUGAAUAUGAUUUGAGCAUUGGAUUAAACCCACGCUCACUUGGAUCACUCCAUGAAUUGUAUCACGAGUGAUUGGUGAGACGAUAACAUCUUAUAUUCUUGAAACCGAGAUGUGUGAGUUGUAUCUUGCAAAUCGGUUGCACAUUGAUAAUAUGUAAACGCACUAGUAACUUGGUGUUAUAAAACAUAUUGUUGUGUGUGAUUCGGUGAGUGAGUGCAAGCAAGCAUUGUAUCAAAGUUUAUCCGUUCCUUUUAUCCAAAGUAGGAUAAAAGCGAUAUCUUUGGGCCCCUCGAUGGUUUAGUGAUGACAAACGUAAAUGCUCGGCCGGGCUAGGGCUAAUUUGAUUUGUUCAAUUAGUCAGUCGUCAUAAAUCGGAAAUCGAGAUAUAGUACAAAGAGAAUGAUUUGAAAUCAUAUCUCAUAUGAUAUCUAGAAUGGAGGAAUAUAUGAUCCCUUAUCUAAGGACACGCGUAUUUGAUAUGAUCAGAGUUGACAGCGGCUUUGGAAAGCUACGAUUGCAGAUCGGGAUCCGAAGUCAUACGCAGAAUAGUUAUUAGACUUAUCCAAGUGGGAGACUGUUGGAUUAGUGUCUAAGUCCAUAACUAUUUUGGUAUGUACUUGACCCGAUGGUGCAUGGUCCUUUUGGGUUGCCUUCACCAAAGCAACUUGAUUGGAGAAAUAAAUAGAAAGAGAGGAUAAUAUGAUUUAUUAAUAUGUUAUAAGGAUGAUAUAUUAAAGGAGAAAUCAUAUUUGUUUAAUUAAUAUUGGUCAAUAAUUAAUUGAGAAUUAAUUUUGUGAUCAAGUGUAAUUAAUUAAACUUGAAGGGGCUGAAUUGUAAUUAUGUGAUAGUUACAAAAUAAGGUAGGGAUUAUCUUAUAAGUAUGGUGAACGAAUUUAAGGUUGAAAAGCCUUAGAAUUUGAGUAUGAUAAGGAUUCAAGGAUUAUCUUAUUGGUUGCUUAAUGGAUAAUCAACUAGAUAAGGAUAAUGACUGAAACCCUAUCUCUACACCUAUAUAAACACCCCUAGGGUUAUGAAUUCGUGUAUCCCUUCCCAAGAGGUCCCAAAUACGAAUUCUAACC